ACUCCUACGGGAGGCAGCAGUGGGGAAUUUUGCGCAAUGGGGGAAACCCUGACGCAGCAACGCCGCGUGAGUGAUGAAGGCCCUUGGGUCGUAAAGCUCUGACAGAGGGAAAGAAAUGCAGGGGAGCUAAUAUCUCCCUUGCUUGACGGUACCCUCAAAGGAAGCACCGGCUAACUCCGUGCCAGCAGCCGCGGUAAUACGGGGGGUGCAAGCGUUGUUCGGAUUUAUUGGGCGUAAAGCGCGUGUAGGCGGUUUUAUAAGUCUGAUGUGAAAGCCCUGGGCUCAACCCGGGAAGUGCAUUGGAUACUGUAAGACUUGAAUACGGGAGAGGGCAGUGGAAUUCCUAGUGUAGGAGUGAAAUCCGUAGAUAUUAGGAGGAACACCGGUGGCGAAGGCGGCUGCCUGGACCGAUAUUGACGCUGAGACGCGAAAGCGUGGGUAGCAAACAGGAUUAGAUACCCUGGUAGUCCACGCCGUAAACGAUGAGAACUAGGUGUCGCGGGUA
rnacentral:rRNA from 1 species